CCGCCCCGUCCCGGUCUUCCGAGUGCGUUCGUUGUUUGCCGACUCGUUCCGCCGGGCGGCGCCCCGCCCGCACCCCGCGCCUCGCGCCCCGCGCCAGGGCAGGAAUAGAAGAUGAACAAACCCAUAACAUCAUCAACAUAUGUACGCUGCCUCAAUGUUGGACUAAUUAGGAAGCUGUCAGAUUUUAUUGAUCCUCAAGAAGGGUGGAAGAGGUUAGCUGCAUCUAUUAAAAAACCAUCUGGUGAUGAUAGAUACAAUCAGUUUCAUAUAAGGAGAUUUGAAGCAUUACUGCAAACUGGAAAAAGUCCCACUUGUGAAUUACUCUUUGACUGGGGUACCACAAAUUGCACAGUUGGUGAUCUUGUGGAUCUUUUGGUCCAAAAUGAAUUUUUUGCUCCUGCAAGUCUUUUGCUCCCAGAUGCUAUCCCCAAAACCGUUAACAAGUUGCCUUGUCAAGAAGCUGUAACAGUUCAGCAGACGCAGAUGCCUUUCUGUGGCAAAGAUAGGACAUCUGUGAGAUCGGUGCAGAAUCCUGAACAAAACUUUACACCCCCUGACUCCUCAAGUCCAGAAAAUAAAAGUUUAGAAGUUAGUGAUAUACGUUUUCACAACUUUUCAUUUUAUGAAUUGAAGAAUGUCACAAAUAACUUUGAUGAACGACCCAUAUCUGUCGGUGGUAAUAAAAUGGGAGAGGGAGGAUUUGGAGUUGUAUAUAAAGGCCAAAUGGACAAUACAACUGUGGCAGUGAAGAAACUUGCAACAAUGGUUGACAUUAGUAUUGAAGAACUAAAACAACAGUUUGAUCAAGAAAUAAAAGUAAUGGCAAAGUGUCAACAUGAAAACCUAGUAGAACUACUUGGUUUCUCAAGUGAUGGAGAUGACCUCUGCUUAGUAUAUGUUUACAUGCCCAAUGGUUCACUGCUAGACAGACUGUCUUGCCUGGAUGGUACUCCACCUCUUUCUUGGCACAUGAGAUGCAAGAUUGCUCAGGGUGCAGCUAAUGGCAUCAGUUUUCUACAUGAAAACCAUCAUAUACACAGAGAUAUUAAAAGUGCAAAUAUCUUACUAGAUGAAGCCUUUACCGCCAAAAUAUCUGACUUUGGGCUUGCGCGGGCUUCUGAGAAGUUUGCCCAUACGGUUAUGACGAGCAGAAUUGUGGGAACAACAGCGUAUAUGGCACCUGAAGCUUUGCGAGGAGAAAUCACACCUAAAUCUGACAUUUAUAGCUUUGGUGUGGUUUUACUAGAAAUAAUAACUGGACUUCCAGCUGUAGAUGAACACCGUGAACCUCAGUUAUUGAUAUUAAAGAAGAAAUUGAAGAUGAAGAAAAGACAAUUGAAGAUUAUAUUGAUACAAAAAUGAAUGAUGCUGAUUCUACUUCAGUUGAAGCUAUAUACUCUGUUUCUAGUCAAUGUCUGCAUGAAAAGAAAAAUAAGAGACCAGAUAUUAAGCAGGUUCAACAGCUGCUGCAAGAGGUGACAGCUUCUUAGAACUUUAUUGGAAUAGACUUUUGACUUUUUAUACUCAGCUAUCUAAACCAUUUUUAAACUAAUUUUUUUAAACAUUCUUCUUUACCUUUAACAAAGGAGCCUGGUGCAGUGCAGUGGUUAUUGAAGCAUGGGUUGAACUUACAACGUAAAGAACAAAUAAAAGUAGAGCCACCACAUCAACAAUUAGCACUACCCACUUAGUAUCACCCUCAAUUCUUGAAAUAAUCCCUGAAACAUCACCUUUAAACAUCAUCAAACACUGUUUGAAAACUAUGGGAUUAGCAAAAAGAAAACAGGCUAUAGCAUGAAAAGACCUUGGUCUGAAGCCUAACUCCACUACUAAUUUGCUGUAAAGCUUUGGUCAAACUCUUAGCAGCUGUGAGCCUUGGUUUUUUUCACUUACAUCAUUGGACUAGCAUCUGCUGUACUCAACAGGUAGUCAUAAAAAUCAAAUGAUGCAGAAUAUAUAAAAGCACUUUGUAAAUGAUAAAUUGAUAUGAAAUUUAAAGUUUAUAGAGACAAUUAUAAAGUCCUAUUACAACAGUAUGUUUAUAGGCUUAUGUUCAGUGUUAUUUUAAGCAGUCAUUCACCACAAACCAAAUAUCCCCUAAUGAUGCUGCCAUAAUGAUGUCUGUUAUUAUCUUAUGCUACAUGGCAAAUUUGAAGGAAUUUUGUAGCUGUAAUUAAGGUUCCUAAUCAACUACUUUUGAGUAUCAAAAGGGAGAUUGUGUUGAAUGGGUCUGACUUAAUCAGGUGAACCCUUUACAAGAAGUCAGAGAUUCUCCUCUGGGCCUUGAAGAAGUACCAUGAUGUAAUAGGGCCACAUUGGCUAAAACCUACAGAUGGCCUCUGGGAGAUGAGAACCACCCUCCAGCUGUCAGCAAGCAGGAAAAAAAUUGGACCUCAUUCGUACAACCACAAGGAACUGAAUUCUGCCAGCAAUCUGAAUGAACUUAGACAAGUACUCCAAGCUUCAGAAAUGGAAGCACUGACAUUAGAAACAGACUGUGGUGCAGAAACUGAGACAGAAGAAGUAAAAGAGGAAGACGUCACGUUAAAAAACAUCUUUCUGUUUCCCUGAUAGCUAGUUCAGAAGGAAAACAGGGACCAUAAGGCCCUGCACAAAAUGUGAGGAAUCCAAGUUACCUUACUUAAGGUAAGCUGCAUACUGCACAUUAACAAAAAGUUCAAAACACUAACAUUACUUAGUUUAAAAAUAUAAUACCCAAUAAUCCAGGGACAAACAAUAUUUUAAAAUGUUUA